GGCCCGGAGCGCGCGUGCGCGAGCCGGCAAGCGCGCCUCCUCCCCGCCCCCACCCGGCCGAGAAGUCUGCACAAUGGCGGCGCCCGAGCCCCCUCCGCGUCCCGUCACCCACCUGCUCUUUGACAUGGACGGCCUCCUUCUGGACACCGAACGGCUCUAUUCAGUGGUGUUCGAGGAAAUCUGUGGUCGCUAUGGGAAGAAAUACAGCUGGGAUGUGAAGUCCCUCGUUAUGGGCAAGAAGGCGCUGGAGGCGGCCCAGAUCAUAAUAGAUGUCCUGCAGCUCCCGAUGUCCAAAGAAGAGCUGGUGGAUGAGAGCCAGGCGAGGCUGAAGGAGGUGUUCCCCACGGCCGCGCUCUUGCCAGGUGUGGAGAAGCUGGUCCGCCACCUGCGGAGGCACGGCGUGCCCUGCGCCGUGGCCACCAGCUCGGGGACCGCGUCCUUCCAGAUGAAGACCCACAGACACGAGGACUUCUUCAGCCUGUUCGACCACGUCGUCUUGGGGGACGACCCCGAAGUGAAGAGUGGGAAACCGGAGCCGGACAUAUUCCUGGCGUGUGCCCGGAGGUUUUCGCCCACUCCCCCCAUGGAGAAGAAAAAACUUUGUGUUGCCUUGCCAGCUGAAGAUGAAAUUCAGCGUAAAGACCGUCUUGGGCUCCAUCAGGGGAAUCGUUGAAAUGACAAAGGGCCUCUAGCAUCUCGUGACGUACCAAGGGCCACAGUGCACUCUACAGAAUUGGUGUGAAAAAUAAAGAAGAUAGAUAGGGCUUUAUCCCUUGCUGGAGUGUUCUUGAAAACCCAUAGCUAUGGGGUUUUCCUAAAAAAAAAUCCUUUAAGCAAGGUCUAAUCGCCAUCUACUGAGUGCGCCACCUACUGAAUGAAGACUCAUUGGUGAAGUUACCAUUUCAUAGACAGCAUGGGACGCUGGCCCCAGACGCCAGGGUCCAGGCUGGUGGUGCUGAACCAUGUUGACAGCUCGUUUUGCCAGGACAGGCAAUCACCAGGCCCUGGAAUGCAAAGAAUUUCCCAGUUCUUUGCCACUGUCCCGUCAAGUCCAUGGUCACCAUAUUGCAAAAUGACGGAGCACAGGUUCAGAUUCUCACUAUGGAUCCUGUGUCUUUCCCAUUGUGCUGACUCUUUGCCAGGGGAAACUUUGUGUGGCCUGGCGGGAUAAGGGCCUCAGAAUUCUAGCCCCAGCUGAUGAAGAAUCUCCCUUCGUCUGGGUCAUGGAGGCACUGACUUGCGAGCAACAUCACGUGGAAACUCCAAGCAGAGGCCCCAGGUCGCAACCCCUGUGCUGUCCUAGCUUGAGUGCUGCUGAGAGUUUGUAAAUAGCUUUAUCUCCCUUGCCUCAGUGAUCAAGGUGUCCAACGGCACAAGCUCAGACCGCAACGGAAAAAAAUAAUAAUUUAUCCCUUGGCUGGGAUAAAUGCACUCUGCAGUCUCAAAUGUACCCCAUCGAUCAUUCUUCAAAGCAGAAACGAUGUGUGUCAACAGAGAAACGGUCUUUAUUAUGGGGAACAGAUUCCACGAAUGUGUGUGCUAUUGAUUCUCGGUCAAAGAUGCCAUUUUCCUAUUUGCGGGACAUCGACGUUUUGCACAAAGCCCUCUCUGUUUAGAUAAUUGUGCCUGACACUUCUGCACCUACAUCCCGAAGGCUCGAUGGUAAAGUUUCUACUCUCCUUACGUGAAGAGGGCAGCCCGCUGUCCCCACAAUGAGAUCUGGUUCUUCCUGCCAGUUCUUGGAGUGACUUGGAGAACAGAGAGCCGAUUUGCAGAGGGACCACUUGGUAGAGAGCAAAAUUGUGCAGAGAGGAUCGUGUUUCUCAGGAUAUAAUCAUGGAACGUUCGGAGGGAACAGCGUCCGUCUGGAACACACAUCCAUCUCGCAGUUACUGAUAGAGCUGCUCGUGUCUGCCGGCUGCCCUGCUGGCUCCCUGCUGUUACCCAUACUCGUCUGCGUGUUCUCGUGGCCCUGCAUGAGGCUGAAGUACCUACAGGAAAUUCCCAAGCCGUAAGGAGACCGGUCCCUCGUGACUACUCUGCCGAGUGGUUGUGUGAGGAAUGAAGACGGAGAAGCACACGUGCCACGCCGGUGACCGCAGCCCCCGCUCGCCCACCAGGACCAGGUCCCCAGAGUGGGCAGAGCACCCCAUUGUGAUGUCUGGACACCACCUGGGUUUCCAGGGGCAACGGCUGCACAGUUGUGAGGUCAGAGGACCAGAGGAUGCCUUCGGCUUCGGGGCACAUGUGCUUGGGCUUGAGAUCAGUGCUCCACCCAGUGAAGCCGGACGCCCCCCCAAAAUUGAAACCGCACCAACAUCUGAAUGUUCCCAACGGCCUCUGGAAAGGACCGCCACUGCCUUCCCCUGGACAGUGCCUCCCCUCGUCCCGUGAGACGCGUAGCUGCCGGAAAUCCUAUGGAAGAAUUGUGCGGAUGUCCCAGGAAGCCCUGUCUCAGAAUCCCCGGAGCAGGCGCCUCUGAGUUCAAGGCUGGUAGACGAGGACACCGGCCUGGGAAAGGGCACAGGUGAGUGGGGGACACUCCCUGCGGACGGAGACCCAGGUAAGAAAGCAGAAGAGAAAGAGAGGGAAUGACCCCCCCGACGUGGCUUCCUUUUGCUCUGUCGCUCCGUCCGGCCUCGCCCACGUGGAGGGCGCCGGCUGCCAGCCACUCUGUGGUUCUUCGGGGACCGGGCACUCAGGCCGUCCCCUUGCCUCGCUUCCCUUCCCCGACGCCAUCCUGUCCAAGGCAGCUGUCGCUCAGGCUCUGCAGGAGCGGCGAGAGCUGCGAGCGCAGGCUCCCUUGAGAAGCACACGCUCCGGCCCUCCUGGCCGGUGCCCUGGAGCUUGGGUCGGCCCCGUCGGAAGCAGCCCACCGUGCGGACUUGCAAACACGCCGUCGAGAGAAAAACAGAUGCUACCUGGGCUCCGCGGAUGGGCUGCUAUUCUCAGAUGGCCGCCGAGUGCAGGAGAGGUCAGCACCCUUAAGCUGUUACCGGAGGGGCUUUUAGCCAUCGCUCCGUGAGUCCAGUCCAGUUGACAAGCACGCACUGAGAGACUUUCAGUGGUGGGAGGUUUGCAGAGAGUGGGGGACACGAGAAAGCAGAACCGACAGACCCUGCCAUGCAGGAACCUCCGCUGAGGACACGGGGACGAGGUGAACACGCGCUAAAAGGGCUCAGGCACCGUGCAGGUGAAACCCCGAACCCUGCAUUGGGGAUUGCACGGAGAAGCCCUGAGCUGUGACUUUUCACGGCGCUUACGACGACUGACGGGUGGCACAGCUCCUGUGCUUUGACGAGGGACAGCUUUCACUGCACGGUGGGGAUCCUCCUGUGGCAUGGGGGAGCCUUGACAUUCCAUAAGCUGAGUGAGAAAAUAAAGGGGAGGUGAUGCACGGAUGAAAAGCGCAGAUGACGGACCAAGGGGCAUCUUUGGAGAAACGACAGUGAGUCGGUUAGACAGACGCCAGUGCCGGGUGAGUCCCAAGGCUCGAGAACCAGGAACUGGACGGUUGUAAGUUGACGUGUGACCCCCAGCGCGGGGGCGGCGAGGAGGGGAGUCACAGCUCACGCCCUCGGGCAGAGAGCAGGUUCAGCUCCCUCUUUGCUUCUGCUCUGGCUCUCAGUCGGUUGCAUGGCGCCCAUC